rnacentral:rRNA from 1 species
AUGAACGCUGGCGGCGUGCCUAAUACAUGCAAGUCGAGCGAACAGACGAGGAGCUUGCUCCUCUGACGUUAGCGGCGGACGGGUGAGUAACACGUGGAUAACCUACCUAUAAGACUGGGAUAACUUCGGGAAACCGGAGCUAAUACCGGAUAAUAUAUUGAACCGCAUGGUUCAAUAGUGAAAGACGGUUUUGCUGUCACUUAUAGAUGGAUCCGCGCCGCAUUAGCUAGUUGGUAAGGUAACGGCUUACCAAGGCAACGAUGCGUAGCCGACCUGAGAGGGUGAUCGGCCACACUGGAACUGAGACACGGUCCAGACUCCUACGGGAGGCAGCAGUAGGGAAUCUUCCGCAAAGGGCGAAAGCCUGACGGAGCAACGCCGCGUGAGUGAUGAAGGUCUUCGGAUCGUAAAACUCUGUUAUUAGGGAAGAGCAAAUGUGUAAGUAACUAUGCACGUCUUGACGGUACCUAAUCAGAAAGCCACGGCUAACUACGUG